rnacentral:rRNA from 1 species
AUUGAACGCUGGCGGCAUGCCUUACACAUGCAAGUCGAACGGGCUUUGGGGCUUGCUCCAAAGUUAGUGGCGAACGGGUGAGUAAUAUAUCGGAACGUACCCUAGAGUGGGGGAUAACUAGUCGAAAGACUGGCUAAUACCGCAUACGAUCUAAGGAUGAAAGUGGGGGACCGCAAGGCCUCAUGCUCAUGGAGCGGCCGAUAUCUGAUUAGCUAGUUGGUAGGGUAAAAGCCUACCAAGGCGACGAUCAGUAGCUGGUCUGAGAGGACGAUCAGCCACACUGGGACUGAGACACGGCCCAGACUCCUACGGGAGGCAGCAGUGGGGAAUUUUGGACAAUGGGGGAAACCCUGAUCCAGCAAUGCCGCGUGAGUGAAGAAGGCCUUCGGGUUGUAAAGCUCUUUUGUCAGGGAAGAAACGGUGGGGCUACUAUCCUCUGCUAAUGACGGUACCUGAGGAAUAAGCACCGGCUAACUACGUGCCAGCCGCCGCCGUAA